GUGGCAUGAUGUGCAGCUUUUAAAUUGAUAACAAAUUCACUAGUCCCAUUUCUUUUCCUUGUUUCUGCGCUGUUAACGUACAUAUGCAUGAUAUGCAGAUUACAUGCACUGCAGCUACUACGAUUUGGUAUAGAUAUAACGCUCCACGGCCACAACCUCCCGAUCCAAGGUCGUAUUUCCGUUCGCAGACAGUAUCUGCAGG
rnacentral:lncRNA from 1 species